AUACCCCAAUGAUGUCAGCACUGGGCUCCGAUCGCUGUGAUGAUUUGGGUGCCUUCUGGGGACUUGACACUCCAGAAGACUGAGGGGUUC
rnacentral:snoRNA from 1 species